rnacentral:misc_RNA from 1 species
AAAGUACCAGCAAUUCCAUCAUCCUGAAUCCUUAAAGAUUUUACAAAGAAAUCCUUAAAGAUUUUACAAAGAUAGUUUCAAAUAUUAUCAUUUUCUAUCGUCUUAAAUCCUAAAAGAUAGAUAUUUUUACCUUCAUGUAUUGAUGGGGCAUUAGAGAAUCAAAGUAUUAAAUAAGUAAAUCAUAAAUCUUGCUUCUUCUAAUGACUUCCUCAGAAAAUUUCCUCACACCAAUAAAAUUUUGAAAUAUGUUUGAUUUUGUGAUUUUCUUUACCAUUCAAUCUCCUUGCAAGGUCUCCAUGCAAAUGAGAUACAUACAACUCUUGAAUUGUAGAAAUAUUCUGUAAUCCUUCAGGCAGAAACCUCAACUCAUAACAAUAUUCAAAUCGAAGGCACCUCAAACUUGGAAAAGCCCCAUUUACAAUCUCAG